rnacentral:rRNA from 1 species
GACGAACGCUGGCGGCGUGCUUAACACAUGCAAGUCGAACGGAAAGGCCCGGCUUUUGUGGGGUGCUCGAGUUGCGAACGGGUGAGUAACACGUGAGUAACCUGCCCUUGACUUUGGGAUAACUUCAGGAAACUGGGGCUAAUACCGGAUAGGAGCUCCUGCUGCUGGGUGGGGGUUGGAAAGUUUCGGCGGUUGGGGAUGGACUCGCGGCUUAUCAGCUUGUUGGUUGGGUAGUGGCUUACCAAGGCUUUGACGGGUAGCCGGCCUGAGAGGGUGACCGGCCACAUUGGGACUGAGAUACGGCACAGACUCGUACGGGAGGCAGCAGUGGGGAAUAUUGCACAAUGGGCGGAAGCCUGAUGCAGUAACGCCGCGUGCGGGAUGACGGCCUUCGGGUUGUAAACCGAUUUCGCCUGUGACGAAGCGUGAGUGACGGUAAUGGGUAAAGAAGCACCGGCUAACUCCGUG